CCUACGGGAGGCAGCAGUGGGGAAUAUUGCACAAUGGGGGAAACCCUGAUGCAGCGACGUCGCGUGAGUGAAGAAGUCUUUCGGUAUGUAAAGCUCUAUCAGCAGGGAAGAAAAUGACGGUACCUGAUUAAGAAGCCCCGGCUAACUACGUGCCAGCAGCCGCGGUCAUACGUAGGGGGCAAGCGUUAUCCGGAUUUACUGGGUGUAAAGGGAGCGUAGACGGCAGCACAAGUCUGGAGUGAAAUGCCGGGGCUUAACCCCGGAACUGCUUUGGAAACUGUGCAGCUAGAGUGCAGGAGAGGUAAGUGGAAUUCCUAGUGUAGCGGUGAAAUGCGUAGAUAUUAGGAGGAACACCAGUGGCGAAGGCAGCUUACUGGACUGUAACUGACGUUGAGGCUCGAAAGCGUGGGGAGCAAACAGGAUUAGAUACCCGAGUAGUC
rnacentral:rRNA from 1 species